UUGGAGGGCAGUCUGGUGCAGCAGCGCGGUAAUUCCAGCUCCAAUAGCGUAUAUUAAAGUUGUUGCAGUUAAAAAGCUCGUAGUUGAAUUUCGGGAUCAAAUUGUCGGUCGUGCCUCGGUACGCACUGGUAUUAUUGGUUCCUACUCCUCUGAAGAACCGCGAUGUCAUUAAUUUGGUGUCGUGGGGAAUCAGGACUGUUACUUUGAAAAAAUUAGAGUGUUUAAAGCAGGCUUACGCUUGAAUACAUUAGCAUGGAAUAAUGAAAUAGGACGUUUGAUUCUAUUUUGUUGGUUUCUAGGAUUGACGUAAUGAUUAAUAGGGAUAGUUGGGGGCAUUAGUAUUCAAUUGUCAGAGGUGAAAUUCUUGGAUUUAUUGAAGACUAACUACUGCGAAAGCAUUUGCCAAGGAUGUUUUCAUUAAUCAAGAACGAAAGUUAGGGGAUCGAAGACGAUCAGAUACCGUCGUAGUCUUAACCAUAAACUAUGCCGACUAGGGAUCGGAUGAUGUUAAUUUUUUAAUGACUCAUUCGGCGCCUUACGGGAAAC
rnacentral:rRNA from 1 species